rnacentral:snRNA from 1 species
CCGGCCGGGGGACGGACUGGGA